UCAUAGUUGGUUUGCUUUACAGGAGGAGAGGAGUAAGAACAUGGCUCUCUGCAGAAAGAAAGAAUGGGGGAGCACUGAGGGAAUUUGCAGAGCUAUACCACCUACGCUCAGCUAGGAAAAAAGGAGGGAAAAGAACGAAGUAAUCGAUCAAACAAAUAUGAACUCAAAUUAUGAAUGAAAAAAAUUAUCAGCCUCAUACCUCUACUGAGCUAUUAAGCCACCUCAUGACAUCCUCAUGACAAUCUGAUAAGAUGAUGCAGGUGGGAUGGAACAGAGAUGUUUACCUGUCCAAAGAAGGACCACACGGAACAAGCCGGAGCUCUUGAACUGAUCUGGGACAAUGCCAAGAAUGUCCUGCUCCACCAGAAUGUUGACACCAAUGACAGCAACUCCUUAAUUCCCCUCUAGAUUCAUUUAGAUGUUGAGUUUUUACUUAAAUAUUAACUAUUAACAAAUACUAGUUCAAUCAUAGGAUGGAGACAAAUAAAAACCCCGUAGACACAUAGUAGAAAACAGAA